AUUGAACGCUGGCGGAAUGCUUUACACAUGCAAGUCGAACGGCAGCACGGACUUCGGUCUGGUGGCGAGUGGCGAACGGGUGGGUAAUGUAUCGGAACGUGCCCAGUCGUGGGGGAUAACGUAGUGAAAAUUACGCUAAUACCGCAUACGAUCUAUGGAUGAAAGCGGGGGAUCGCAAGACCUCGCGCGAUUGGAGCGGCCGAUAUCAGAUUAGGUAGUUGGUGGGGUAAAGGCCCACCAAGCCAACGAUCUGUAGCUGGUCUGAGAGGACGACCAGCCACACUGGAACUGAGGCACGGUCCAGACUCCUACGGGAGGCAGCAGUGGGGAAUUUUGGACAAUGGGCGAAAGCAUGAUCCAGCCAUUCCGCGUGCAGGAUGAAGGCCCUCGGGUUGUAAACUGCUUUUGUACAGAACGAAAAGGUUUCUACUAAUACUAGGAGCUCAUGACGGCACUGUAAGAAUAAGCACCGGCUAACUACGUGCCAGCAGCCGCGGUAA
rnacentral:rRNA from 1 species